ensembl:lncRNA
GGAAGCUCUGGGUUUUGUUAAAACAAGUGGGGAAAUCACCAAGGUUGGGUUGGGUGUGGAGCCCUAAGCGGCUGAAGGAAGAGCAGAAAGUUGUGAAGAACGGUUGCUUACAAUGCCUACACCCCUCUGGAACACUCCUUGCACGCCUGCCACCACAUGUAGGGUGCCAGUUGUCCAGCUGUGCCACCUCACUGAGAAAUAAGUGAAUGAUGGACAUAUUUGACACUCCAUUUACUACUGCUGAUGUUUAUGAAGCCAGGAAUCACCCAUAAAAGAGAGUUGUUAGGUUGUGGGCAAGAUCCAUUUUCCAAAUUUGAUUUUUCCUCUGUUAUCAUUAUACACAGCGUUCUUGACUUGCAACAUUUGUCUUUACUUGCUGUCCUUCUAUUUAUUUUAUCUCUGAAAGCCAGUUUUUGGACAUAAUUUUUUGCCAUACUAAAGGUGUCGUUCAAUUUAGCAAUAAGUGUUUUCCAUUUGAUAUAAUCACACAGUGUUAUUGUGAUCAAGACAGAUUCCCUAACAGGCCAUCACUCUAUGUUCUUCAGGAAACCAUGAAUGUUGCUAGCAAAUGUUACCAAUCUCUUUGUGACCAUUUCUCAGAGAAACGCAAACUCGAGACUCUCUUUCUCUUUUGCAGUCUCUCUCUGGCUGCAUCUCUCUCACACACAGAGGCACACAGACACACACAGUAUCAGGUACUAAUUUCUCUUUUUUUUGGUUUUCACAUAUUUCUCCAAAUGACCUAGAUCACCAUAAAAUACUGAAAGAAACAGCUGCUGAACUGUCCUUAGUGCUUCAUGUAGCUUUAAAGAUUAAUCCUGCAUCAGUCUAUUCUAAUGCUUCCUACCUGCAAAACCCAAGCAUGGAUGUCUCAAAUCCUGAAACUCACUGAAAUAUUGAUGUAAAAAGUUAUUUCAGCAUAAGCAAGAACAAUGUACUCAAAUUUAUUAUCAAGAUCACCUCCAAACUCUGCAAGUAGCAGAAAAUAAGGUGUUUAACUGGAUUUCAGAACCUUGUAGGCCCUACUGGAAAAGCAGAAAUUUAAUGGGCAUCUGGCAUUUCAAGAACUCGUUGAGACUGUCAAAGGUUUCAGUAAGAAAUUCUAACAACUAGAACAGCAAGUCAUUAGUGAGAAAGAAG